AAGUCGAGCGGUAAGGCCUUUCGGGGUACACGAGCGGCGAACGGGUGAGUAACACGUGGGUGAUCUGCCCUGCACUUCGGGAUAAGCCUGGGAAACUGGGUCUAAUACCGGAUAUGACCUCCUAUCGCAUGGUGGGUGGUGGAAAGAUUUAUCGGUGCAGGAUGGGCCCGCGGCCUAUCAGCUUGUUGGUGGGGUAAUGGCCUACCAAGGCGACGACGGGUAGCCGACCUGAGAGGGUGACCGGCCACACUGGGACUGAGACACGGCCCAGACUCCUACGGGAGGCAGCAGUGGGGAAUAUUGCACAAUGGGCGAAAGCCUGAUGCAGCGACGCCGCGUGAGGGAUGACGGCCUUCGGGUUGUAAACCUCUUUCAGCAGGGACGAAGCGCAAGUGACGGUACCUGCAGAAGAAGCACCGGCUAACUACGUGCCAGCAGCCGCGGUAAUACGUAGGGUGCAAGCGUUGUCCGGAAUUACUGGGCGUAAAGAGUUCGUAGGCGGUUUGUCGCGUCGUUUGUGAAAACCAGCAGCUCAACUGCUGGCUUGCAGGCGAUACGGGCAGACUUGAGUACUGCAGGGGAGACUGGAAUUCCUGGUGUAGCGGUGAAAUGCGCAGAUAUCAGGAGGAACACCGGUGGCGAAGGCGGGUCUCUGGGCAGUAACUGACGCUGAGGAACGAAAGCGUGGGUAGCGAACAGGAUUAGAUACCCUGGUAGUCCACGCCGUAAACGGUGGGCGCUAGGUGUGGGUUCCUUCCACGGAAU
rnacentral:rRNA from 1 species